CAGCCGCCGCGGGAAAACGUAGGGUGCAAGCGUUAAUCGGAAUUACUGGGCGUAAAGCGUGCGCAGGCGGUUAUAUAAGACAGAUGUGAAAUCCCCGGGCUCAACCUGGGAACUGCAUUUGUGACUGUAUAGCUAGAGUACGGCAGAGGGGGAUGGAAUUCCGCGUGUAGCAGUGAAAUGCGUAGAUAUGCGGAGGAACACCGAUGGCGAAGGCAAUCCCCUGGGCCUGUACUGACGCUCAUGCACGAAAGCGUGGGGAGCAAACAGGAUUAGAUACCCCCGUAGUCCCUGUCUCUUAUAA
rnacentral:rRNA from 1 species